UUGAGUCUGAUCGGUAAUAUGGUGAUCUAUCUUAAUCACCUACCCAACAUUUGGAGUGCUACAAUCAAUCUGAGAAUUCCCACAUAGGUGGGUAGAUCGGUGCUGAACACUAAGGGACCUGCUGGAAUGUUUGCUAUCCUAGUACUCAUCGGCUAAUGUAUAACACAUACAGCAUGCAUCUCUCGAGAACAUCAUCUCAACAUCACACACGACAUGUCUGCACCUGACAUUGGAUAAAGGUUUUGGUUUUGCUAACAAAUGCGGCCUCUAUCACUGGUGUUAACCCAAGGUAUAGACCAAGGUCAGAGGUCAUGCCCCUGCUGAGAAGAUAUAGACCAAGGUCACAGAGGUCAUGACCCUGAUACAAGAUAUUGACCAAGGUCAGAGGUCAUGACCCUGUUCAGAGUUCUUUGCCACGGCCACAGAAGUGACAACAUGGUGAGUGUUACUGACCAAUGUCACGGAAGUGACAAUGACUUUCUACAUUAAUACGAAAGAAUUGUGUGGUCCUUCAGUUCUUUUUAGUAGUAUACUUCCAAACAGGAAAGAACAAAUUUCUGCUAAGCCACCAGCCAGAUUACCCUGACCAAGGAAUGACUGCUUGUGUAAUCCAUGUCUACACAGAAUAAUGGUUAUGUUAAACAUUGAAAAA